rnacentral:rRNA from 1 species
AUUAAUAUGUUAAUCCCAGGUCAUUAGUAGUUAAGUUCUUGAAAAUCAAGAUUGAUGGCGGUAUUUUAGUCUAUUCAGAGGAAUCUGCCCUGUAAUUGAUGUUCCACGAUUUAAUUUACUUAGAUUUUUAGUUUGUAUAUCGCUGUAGAUCGAAUAUUUCUAUUGAAUUUGAAUGUUCACAGGUUUGAGGGAAAGUAAAUCAAGUCAAGAUGUAGCUUACAUCUAAGAAGAGGUGGAUUACAAUAGAGAUAUUUGUGGUUAGUUGCUUGUGAAGGCAACUAUAAAAUGGAUUUGAAAGUAAUUUUUUACAGAUUUAGAAAAUGAUUCUAGCUCUAAAA